rnacentral:rRNA from 1 species
GACCAGACUCCUACGGGAGGCAGCAGUGGGGAAUAUUGCACAAUGGGGGAAACCCUGAUGCAGCAACGCCGCGUGAGUGAAGAAGUAUUUCGGUAUGUAAAGCUCUAUCAGCAGGGAAGAAGAUGACGGUACCUGAAUAAGAAGCCCCGGCUAACUACGUGCCAGCAGCCGCGGUAAUACGUAGGGGGCAAGCGUUAUCCGGAUUUACUGGGUGUAAAGGGAGCGCAGACGGCUGUGCAAGUCUGGAGUGAAAGGCGGGGGCCCAACCCCCGGACUGCUCUGGAAACUGUAAAGCUGGAGUGCAGGAGAGGUAAGCGGAAUUCCUAGUGUAGCGGUGAAAUGCGUAGAUAUCAGGAGGAACACCGGCGGCGAAGGCGGCCUGCUGGACCGCGACUGACGUUGAGGCUCGAAAGCGUGGGGAGCGAACAGGAUUAGAUACCCCAGUAAAC